UCCGGCUUAUCACCGGCGUCUAGUGCAUGUCAAACCCAGGUAAGGUUCUUCGCGUUGCAUCGAAUUAAUCCACAUGCUCCGCCGCUUGUGCGGGCCCCCGUCAAUUCCUUUGAGUUUUAGCCUUGCGGCCGUACUCCCCAGGCGGGGCGCUUAAUGCGUUAGCUGCGGCACAGAGACCGUGGAAUGGCCCCCACACCUAGCGCCCACCGUUUACGGCGUGGACUAC
rnacentral:misc_RNA from 1 species